CUGCGCGAGGGGCCCAGCGAGGCCCGGCGCCUCCGGCAGGGGGUCGCUGCUGUGCCCGCUCAUCUUCACGGCGAGAAGAGAGACUGCCAUGGGUUUUCCUCCAAAAAUGACAUAAAUGGAUCACAGCCACGUUGUAACUGAAGCAGGAACCUCAGACCUGUUGGCAGUAACAGAUUUGGAGAAAUUUUGCCCAGGAAGGAAACCUGUGUCUGACCUCUGUGUUGCCUGUACUGGAACCUAAGUGCCCUGCUUAGAUGGCUUCAGAAGUUUGCAUAUGAUCUGUAACUGGAUCAUUGAGAACCUGAUCAUUCACAAGGGAACACUACUGAUGUCCAGCAGAAAAAUGCUGAAGUAGCUACUAGUGCAAAAAAGAUGAUGUAAGAGCUUAUAAACAUUGUAAGUGGCAUACAUUUUGAAGGAUACUUCUACUCGUGUCAUGAAGUGUCAGUCACAGUUCCAAGCUAUCAGUUUAGAGUUACUCAGCCUUACAAUCCUGUAAAUAAGGGUUGAGUGUGUUCAUAGGCAAUGUUCAUGUAAGAAAAAGACACCUCCAAGCAAUGCACUUGCAGCAGGCAUAGUGAAAUACUGUGAUAGGUCCUUCCUCCACUGACAAAUUACUGUUAGAUUUCUGUUACACAUGGAUGCAACAUUAUCUUCAUGCUCAGACAGUUAAACCUAAAUAUACACUAGGAGGUUGCCAGUUUGAGGCUAUCAUUGCUGCCAGAGCUCAGCUGUCCAUAUCCACUUACUAUCCACAUAUCAAUUUGUUCAAAAUAAAUUUCACAGCCAAGUAAAUACACUUUACACACAAAUGCACACACAUGGAUGCACACACUCAUCUGCCACAGACUUUAUUAGGGCAUCAAACAAAGGUUUUUGGUGUUUUUUUUUCCCCCUGACAUAAUUACAGAUGAAGGGUACAAGUGAAAUCACUGCUCCAGACACCACUGGGGAGCUAUUAGUAGCAACACAACUCCACCAGUGCUCAGUAAGCCUCCAAUUCUGAACCUGUGAAUGGGCUUCCAGUGUAAGAGGAGCAGCAGUGAAUCAGAGUGAAGCUUUUAGUUUGGUACUGGAAGACAAUUUUGAGGCGAGAACUCAGGGUAAUACAGUCAUACAAAGAUUUUAUCUGGUAAGAAAAAAAGCUACAGAAAACAACACAUACAAACCAAUCUGCCAUCUGGAACAUUUUAGCUUUGAAGAGCUACCAUACACACAUCAGGCUUACCGCACUGCUGGCUGCAUAGCUUUGUUUUUCACUAGACUGGGAAAUUAAUUCAAAGAACUUGUUAGUCCACAACAUCUAUACGUGCUCCCUAUACUCGAAGUAAAUGCUGUAUUUGACUAUCAAAGAGUGCACAAGGUGCAUCUAACUGUGGAAGGGCACUGGGGAGUCCUAUCUGAAGGAGCUCAGAGAAAUUGAAAGACAAAGAUCAAAAGUAUGUAGACUAAGACUCUGGGGUAAUCAUUUUAUAAUAGCUUCAUUCCCAGAAGCAUUACCAGAAACCCUGAACAUAUUCAAAUAUAAUACAACAACUGCCACAAACGAAUAAGUGAUCUUGUAGUCCUAUAAGAAGUGAAUGAUCAUUUACUGCUGAAGUGCACCAUCCCUCCAAUUAACCAAAGCUCAGAAAUUUGUGAUCCCCACAUUUUGAGAACACCAAAGUUUUUGGUUUAGAAAUCAGUAACACCAGGAUCUUUUCAGAUCAUGCUGGAAAGGAAGCCUGAAACAUUUUUCUCAGAGCUCUGCCUAGAAGUGCUUCAUUUCCAAAGCAAGACAUUAUUCUUCACUUACUUGCAAUCAUAUGUUUAUUGGGAAUGUGGAAUUUCAACACCAAAAAUAUGUAUACUGAAAUAGUUUUCUAGUCAACUAUCACACAAUGCAGAGAAGAAUCAUAUACUUUCAGUAGCAAAGCUCUGCUAAAUAAGCAUCUCAUCAAAUACAUAUCUGGCUAGAAAUCUGCAAAAGUCUCUUGUAAGAAGUACAAUCUAACAGUGGAUAUUU